rnacentral:pre_miRNA from 1 species
UAUAUACUCCCUUCAUCUCAAAAUUCUUGUGUUUAGAUUUGUGUAGAUAUGAAUGUAUCUAGUCACAUUUUAGUAUUUAGAUACAUCCAUUUCUAGACAAACCUAAGACAAGAAUUUUGAAAUGGAGGGGGUAUUUG